ACUAUUUUGGCAGAAAAGUGCCUUGAAUUUAGAAUUCAAAAAUGUAAUAUGUAUUACAGAUAGUA
rnacentral:tRNA from 1 species